GACGAACGCUGGCGGCGUGCCUAAUACAUGCAAGUCGAACGCACUCUCGUUUAGAUUGAAGGAGCUUGCUCCUGAUUGAUAAACAUUUGAGUGAGUGGCGGACGGGUGAGUAACACGUGGGUAACCUGCCCUAAAGUGGGGGAUAACAUUUGGAAACAGAUGCUAAUACCGCAUAAAACCUAACACCGCAUGGUGUAGGGUUGAAAGAUGGUUUCGGCUAUCACUUUAGGAUGGACCCGCGGUGCAUUAGUUAGUUGGUGAGGUAAAGGCUCACCAAGACCGUGAUGCAUAGCCGACCUGAGAGGGUAAUCGGCCACACUGGGACUGAGACACGGCCCAGACUCCUACGGGAGGCAGCAGUAGGGAAUCUUCCACAAUGGACGAAAGUCUGAUGGAGCAACGCCGCGUGAGUGAAGAAGGUUUUCGGAUCGUAAACUCUGUUGUUGGAGAAGAAUGUAUCUGAUAGUAACUGAUCAGGUAGUGACGGUAUCC
rnacentral:rRNA from 1 species